UACGUAGGGGGCAAGCGUUGUCCGGAAUCAUUGGGCGUAAAGAGCGCGUAGGCGGCCCAGUAAGUCCGCUCUGAAAGUCAGGGGCUCAACCCCUGGAUGCGGGUGGAUACUGCUGGGCUAGAGUCCGGAAGAGGUGAGUGGAAUUCCUGGUGUAGCGGUGAAAUGCGCAGAUAUCAGGAGGAACACCAAUGGCGAAGGCAGCACUCUGGGACGGUACUGACGCUGAGACGCGAAAGCGUGGGGAGCAAACAGG
rnacentral:rRNA from 1 species